rnacentral:rRNA from 1 species
ACCGGAUAACAACAGAUGAUGCCUAUCAAACUGUUUAAAAGUAUGGUUCUGCUAUCACUCUUGGAUGGACCUGCGGUGCAUUAGCUAGUUGGUAGGGUAACGGGCCUACCAAGGCGAUGAUGCAUAGCCCGAGUUGAGAGACUGAUCGGGCCACAUUGGGGACUGAGACACGGGCCCAAACUCCUACGGGAGGCAGCAGUAGGGAAUCUUCCACAAUGGACGCAAGUCUGAUGGAGCAAACGCCGCGUGAGUGAAGAAGGGUUUCGGCUCGUAAAAAGCUCUGUUGUUGGUGAAGAAGGACAGAGGUAGUAACUGACCCUUUGUUUGACGGUAAUCAAUUUAGAAAGUCACGGGCUAACUACGUGCCCAGCAGCCGCGGUAAAU